rnacentral:rRNA from 1 species
CCUACGGGGGGCAGCAGUGGGGAAUAUUGGACAAUGGGGGGAACCCUGAUCCAGCCAUGCCGCGUGUGUGAAGAAGGCCCUCGGGUUGUAAAGCACUUUCAGUGAGGAAGAACGCCUGGUGGUUAAUACCCAUCAGGAAAGACAUCACUCACAGAAGAAGCACCGGCUAACUCCGUGCCAGCAGCCGCGGUAAUACGGAGGGUGCGAGCGUUAAUCGGAAUUACUGGGCGUAAAGCGCGCGUAGGUGGCUUGAUAAGCCGGUUGUGAAAGCCCCGGGCUCAACCUGGGAACGGCAUCCGGAACUGUCAAGCUAGAGUGCAGGAGAGGAAGGUAGAAUUCCCGGUGUAGCGGUGAAAUGCGUAGAGAUCGGGAGGAAUACCAGUGGCGAAGGUGGCCUUCUGGACUGACACUGACACUGAGGUGCGAAAGCGUGGGUAGCAAACAGGAUUAGAUACCCCAGUAGUC